UUAACUUAUUAUAUUUUACUCAGACGACAACAUUCAGAGUUUAGGGGUCUCUGGCGGGCGCGAGCCAGCUUACGCCGGCAGCCGCGAGGCAGGCCCGCCAAAGCAACAAAGUAUGAUAAACAAAGGGUGGGAGAUCUACCCCGGAGGGCAAGUUCUCUUUAGUGAUCCUUCCGCAGGUUCACCUACGGAAA
rnacentral:misc_RNA from 1 species